rnacentral:rRNA from 1 species
AUUGAACGCUAGCGGCAUGCUUUACACAUGCAAGUCGAACGAGUGGCGGACGGGUGAGUAAUAUAUAGGAACGUCCCCAGUAGCGGGGGAUAACUACUCGAACGAGUGGCUAUUCCCGCAUACUUUUCGCUCGGCCGUUAUCGGAUUAGCUAGUUGGUGGGGUAAAGGCUUACCAAGGCAACGAUCCAUAGCUGGUUUGAGAGGUCGACCGGCCACACUGGGACUGAGACACGGCCCAGACUCCUACGGGAGGCAGCAGUGGGGAAUUUUGGACAAUGGGGGAAACCCUGAUCCAGCCAUCCCGCGUGUAUGAGAAGGCCUUCGGGUUGUAAAGUACUUUUGGCAGGGAAGCGGUAUCUGCAGAGAAAGCACCGGCUAACUACGUGCCAGCAGCCGCGGUAAUAC